UUGGUGGAGACCAGGGAGACGGCAAAUCCCAGAGAGAAGAGACCCCAGAGCCAUCGAAAGGCAGCACUCACCUGGAGUCCGAAGUAGAGACAAAGAUGAGGGGAAGAAAGAAACCAAGAGAGGCAGCUCUGAGCGGGGCAGAGAGAGGCCCCAGAAGCCAGGAGCGGCAGAGGACAGAGGGAGGAGACCGAGUCCAGGGUAUGGGAGAAGGGCCCGGUCCGGGCUGUGCGGGUCCCAGCUGGAGGUGGGGCCUCACCUGUGUGCCCGUCUGGCCUGCAUGGGCCAGGGCAGUUCCCGGGAAGGGUGAGGGUCCUGCAGCUCUGUCUGGGUGACUUCUGUGAAGGCCUUUCUGCUCCUUCCUCCAUCCUCCUCCUCCUCCUCCAGCGCCCCCCAAGGCAGCA
rnacentral:lncRNA from 1 species